rnacentral:rRNA from 1 species
CAGCAGCCGCGGUAAUACGUAGGGUGCAAGCGUUAAUCGGAAUUACUGGGCGUAAAGCGUGCGCAGGCGGUUAUAUAAGACAGAUGUGAAAUCCCCGGGCUCAACCUGGGAACUGCAUUUGUGACUGUAUAGCUAGAGUACGGCAGAGGGGGAUGGAAUUCCGCGUGUAGCAGUGAAAUGCGUAGAUAUGCGGAGGAACACCGAUGGCGAAGGCAAUCCCCUGGGCCUGUACUGACGCUCAUGCACGAAAGCGUGGGGAGCAAACAGGAUUAGAGACCCGAGUAGUCCCUGUCUCUUAUAC